UACGAAGGGGGCUAGCGUUGCUCGAAUGAUCUGGGCGUAAAGGGAGCGUAGGCGGAUAGUUAAGUCAGAGGUGAAAGCCCAGGGCUCAACCUUGGAAUUGCCUUUGAUACUGGCUAUCUUGAGUAUGGGAGAGGUAAGCGGAACUCCGAGUGUAGAGGUGAAAUUCGUAGAUAUUCGGAAGAACACCAGUGGCGAAGGCGGCUUACUGGCCCAUUACUGGACGCUGAGGCUCGAAAGCGUGGGGAGC
rnacentral:rRNA from 1 species